AAGGGAGACCUGAUUCGGGUAUAAGACGAAAAAAGAGUAGUCGAAACCAAGAAUCAAUCCCAAAAGGUCAGAACGAGGUAUGUGGCUUUCAAACUAGGUUCUGGGUUCACACAAGACCUGAAUCAGGAACAAGGGCUAUUAGCUCAGGUGGUUAGAGCGCACCCCUGAUAAGGGUGAGGUCCCUGGUUCGAGUCCAGGAUGGCCCACCUGCACAGGUGGCAAAAACAAAGAAGCGAAGAAUCAGCACCUUAUCUUAUCUAUAUAUAAGAGAGAAUGCUGGCUCUGAGUAAAGAGUCCAGAGGAACCUUGAAAACUGCAUAGAGCUAGGUGAAAAAGCCAAAAAAGAAGACCGCAA
rnacentral:tRNA from 1 species